CUUUCCUGAGCCAGAAAGAGGCCAGGUAAAGUCAUAUAUGAUAUCCUUCUUAUUUCCCAUUCAGAUGUCUGAGGCUUCUUUUCCUUUUGGUCAAAUCUGAUUUGUAUUUCUCCUUUGUUAAUACCCCCAGAGUGAUUCAGGCUGCUUUCUGCCUG
rnacentral:lncRNA from 1 species